rnacentral:lncRNA from 1 species
UAGCUAUAUUGAGCAUAGUCAUCCUAAAACCUCUUAAUUUAGGAAUAUUUGACCAAUUUCUCUCAUUAUCUUUUUCCCUCGGCCUCUUAUCAUAUCAUUUUAAUAUAUUUCCUAUAUUAGCCUGUAAUAGGGCACUCCCUUCACGAGUUAGGUGUAAGCCUCUGCGAUUUAAAUGUAAGCGGUUUAUAUUACUAUUAUCUAUAAACGAUGAAUUGUUUUCUUCACACUUCAGUUUCAAAGCAACAUUGGUCUCUUUUACCUUAUUUGCAAAUUCAGGAUUAUCGCUUCUAAUGAUCAAAGAUGAAAUAAUUAUUGUUGUUUUCUUCGAUUCCUGUUUGAACUGGUGUGUCACUUUAGUAACUUCGUCAGCAAUAUUCUGCGGCGUCGAACUUCGCAUAUUAUUU